rnacentral:rRNA from 1 species
UACGUAGGGUGCAAGCGUUAAUCGGAAUUACUGGGCGUAAAGCGUGCGCAGGCGGUUUUGUAAGUCUGUUGUGAAAUCCCCGGGCUCAACCUGGGAACUGCAUCUGUGACUGCAUCGCUGGAGUGCGGCAGAGGGGGAUGGAAUUCCGGCGUGUAGCAGUGAAAUGCGUAGAUAUGCGGAGGAACACCGAUGGCGAAGGCAAUCCCCUGGGCCUGCACUGACGCUCAUGCACGAAGCGUGGGAGCAACAGGAAUA